rnacentral:misc_RNA from 1 species
CCGAGUUUACAACUCCCAAACCCCUGUGAACAUACCACUUGUUGCCUCGGCGGAUCAGCCCGCUCCCGGUAAAACGGGACGGCCCGCCAGAGGACCCCUAAACUCUGUUACUAUAUGUAACUUCUGAGUAAAACCAUAAAUAAAUCA